AGAGUUUGAUCCUGGCUCAGGACGAACGCUGACGGUGUGCUUUAGGCAUGCAAGUCGAACGAGAAAGCCCUUCGGGGUGAGUAAAGUGGCGAACGGGUGAGUAACACGUGGGCAACCUGCCCCUCGCAGGGGGACAACCGGAGGAAACUCCGGCUAAUACCCCGUAAGCUCUACACGCCGCAUGGCGAGUAGAGGAAAGGUAGCUUCGGCCAUCCGGCGAGGGAUGGGCCCGCGGUGCAUUAGCUAGUUGGUGGGGUAACGGCCCACCAAGGCGACGAUGCGUAGCUGGUCUGAGAGGAUGAUCAGCCACACUGGGACUGAGACACGGCCCAGACUCCUACGGGAGGCAGCAGCCAGGAAUCUUGGGCAAUGGGCGAAAGCCUGACCCAGCAACACCGUGUGGGUGAUGAAGGCCUUCGGGUCGUAAAGCCCUGUUGAUAGGGACGAAGGGCGAAGGGCUAAUAGCCCGGAGCUUGACGGUACCUUUCGAGGAAGCCCCGGCUAACUACGUGCCAGCAGCCGCGGUAAUACGUAGGGGGCGAGCGUUGUCCGGAAUUAUUGGGCGUAAAGAGCGUGUAGGCGGUUCGGUAAGUCUGUCGUGAAAUCCUGGGGCUCAACCCUGGGCGUGCGAUGGAUACUGCCGGGCUAGAGGGUGGUAGAGGCGAGUGGAAUUCCCGGUGUAGCGGUGAAAUGCGCAGAUAUCGGGAGGAACACCAGUAGCGAAGGCGGCUCGCUGGGCCACACCUGACGCUGAGACGCGAAAGCUAGGGGAGCGAACAGGAUUAGAUACCCCGGUAGUCC
rnacentral:rRNA from 1 species